rnacentral:rRNA from 1 species
UGGGGAAUCUUGGACAAUGGGCGCAAGCCUGAUCCAGCCAUGCCGCGUGAGUGAAGAAGGCCUUCGGGUUGUAAAGCUCUUUUACCAGGGACGAUAAUGACGGUACCUGGAGAAUAAGCCCCGGCAAACUUCGUGCCAGCAGCCGCGGUAAUACGAAGGGGGCUAGCGUUGUUCGGAAUUACUGGGCGUAAAGCGCACGUAGGCGGAUUGUUAAGUCAGAGGUGAAAUCCCGGAGCUCAACUUCGGAACUGCCUUUGAUACUGGCAAUCUCGAGUCCGGAAGAGGUUAGUGGAAUUCCCAGUGUAGAGGUGAAAUUCGUAGAUAUUGGGAAGAACACCAGUGGCGAAGGCGGCUAACUGGUCCGGUACUGACGCUGAGGUGCGAAAGCGUGGGGAGCAAACAGGAUUAGAUACCCGUGUAGUCCCUGAGCGGGCUGGCAAGGCGCAU